ACAGGGAUUGCCCUAGUAACGGCGAGUGAAGCGGCAACAGCUCAAAUUUGAAAUCUGGCUCUUUCAGAGUCCGAGUUGUAAUUUGCAGAGGGCGCUUUGGCUUUGGCAGCGGUCCAAGUUCCUUGGAACAGGACGUCACAGAGGGUGAGAAUCCCGUACGUGGUCGCUAGCUAUUGCCGUGUAAAGCCCCUUCGACGAGUCGAGUUGUUUGGGAAUGCAGCUCUAAAUGGGAGGUAAAUUUCUUCUAAAGCUAAAUAUUGGCCAGAGACCGAUAGCGCACAAGUAGAGUGAUCGAAAGAUGAAAAGCACUUUGGAAAGAGAGUCAAACAGCACGUGAAAUUGUUGAAAGGGAAGCGCUUGCAGCCAGACUUGCUUGCAGUUGCUCAUCCGGGCUUUUGCCCGGUGCACUCUUCUGUAGGCAGGCCAGCAUCAGUUUGGGCGGUGGGAUAAAGGUCUCUGACACGUUCCUUCCUUCGGGUUGGCCAUAUAGGGGAGACGACAUACCACCAGCCUGGACUGAGGUCCGCGCAUCUGCUAGGAUGCUGGCGUAAUGGCUGUAAGCGGCCCGUCUUGAAACACGGACCAAGGAGUCUAACAUCUAUGCGAGUGUUUGGGUGUCAAGCCCGAACGCGUAAUGAAAGUGAACGGAGGUGGGAACCCGCAAGGGCGCACCAUCGACCGAUCCUGAAGUUUACGGAAGGAUUUGAGUAAGAGCAUGGCUGUUGGGACCCGAAAGAUGGUGAACUAUGCUUGAAUAGGGUGAAGCCAGAGGAAACUCUGGUGGAGGCUCGCAGCGGUUCUGACGUGCAAAUCGAUCGUCAAAUUUGGGCAUAGGGGCGAAAGACUAAUC
rnacentral:rRNA from 1 species